CUCUUCCUUCUUUCUUUUAUCGUCUGUCCUAACUGUGUAAGUUGUGAAUAAUCAGACACUGGACUUUUUCUCUCAACUAUGCCGUGAAAGGAGACAUCCCUUCUUUAAGACUUGAUGGAACUACAUCAAUUAGUAAAAGACAGAAGCUAAUUAAUCGUUUCAAUGAUCCAGCAAAGGACGAGUUUGCAUUUCUGUUGAGUAGCAAGGCUGGAGGUUGCGGUCUUAAUUUGAUUGGUGGGAACUGUCUGGUUUUAUUUGAUCCUGACUGGAAUCCAGCCAAUGACAAACAGGCUGCUGCACGAGUCUGGAGAGAUGGACAAAAGAAGAGGGUCUACAUCUAUAGGUUUUUGAGUACUGGAACUAUUGAAGAAAAGGUUUACCAGCGUCAGAUGUCAAAGGAGGGUCUUCGGAAAGUCAUUCAGCAGGAACAAAGAGAUUCUGAUAUACAGGGAAAUUUUCUCUCAGCAGAAGACCUGCGUGGCCUGUUCACAUUUCAUGAUAGUAGAUGCAGUGAUGCCAGAUGACAACACCGAGUUCA